GCCAUGGCUCAGUGGUAGAGCAUCUGCUUGGCAUGCAGCAGGCCUCAGGUUCAACAUCUGGAAUCUCCA
rnacentral:tRNA from 1 species